UCUUUCCCCAAGAGGGCAUGUGUGUGACACUACCAUGAUCAAGAAUCCAUUUCCUUACUCUGGCACAAGCAUUGUCCUGGCCUCCAUCAGGUCCUUCUCCGAGAAUACGCAUACAAAUGUAGCUCAGGGCUGUGCAGAACAUGGUGCUGUGUCCUUCAAUAUGUAAUCCCCAACCACCAUCUUGAUUCUGAAAAUACAUUACCAUUCUUUAUAUACUAGUUUAACACAAAAUAUGCACAAUGAGUGGAAAUUAAAUUUAAAAAUUGAUCCCAUUUGUAUGAACCAAGUAAAUAAGUAUGUACCUGAUGGUAGUAUAUGUAACGCAGAAUUUCUUUGCGAUGCUCUGCUGGGAAUACAGUAUUAAGAUGCCCUGUAAUGUAUGUACACAUGACCUGCAAAAAAAAAUUGGAAUUAAAAAGGGAAAAUUAGUAAAAAGCUCCAAAACAUUCAUAUUUUAGUAAAAAAUCUAACUAAAGCUCUAAAAAUAACUGUAAUUAUAAGGAAAUUAGAAAUUUUAUACUCACCAAAGGAGGAAGGAAAAACAAUGGGCCAGCAUUUUCAGCAGGCCAAUGGCCAUCACUUGCCUGCAAGGCUGAAAAGAAGUGAACAGAUCUUCUCAGUGAGGCUGUGGCCUUUUCAUAUGUGAUUUCCUCGCCAUCCUCAACCUUUACUGGGGGAAUUGUCUGCUUGAAGUUAUUCUCUUUUAGGAACUGCAGUGUAGUGAACAGAGUAUUAAGAGUGGAAUUAGAGAAAAAAGUAAAUAAAAUUCAUGAUGCUGAUUAUAAAAUUCUAAUUUGGUAUUAGUCCACAAAUAUAUCAGUGAUAUUUAAGAAAGGGGGAAUUGAACCUAGGACCUUGGAUGGAACUACAAGAUUUGAAUACUAGGGAGAUGUUGACACUCCCAAAAAUUUAUUAUUAUGUAAUCAUUCCUUUGUUUUUAUUUUUCUCUUAUUACCACUUUCCUCAUAUCAAAUGGUUUUACCCAUCAAAAGAAAGGAAAUGAAAACUUAUAUAAGUGCUAAAAACAAGACAGAGAUUGGCCCACUACUAGCAACAUCGAUAUUGUCCCCAACUUAACCACCUAUUUAGCAUGUGUGAGAUUUUAUACAAAAGGUCUCGAUGUUAUUAGGAGUAGAACCAUUUAUUAGAUUGGACUUUCUAUUUUGUUAAGUUUCCGAUGUGGGACUCGUGUAUUUUUCAACAAUUACUAGUCUACUAAUAUUCCUUUUUGCAUUUUAUUUGAAGAGGUUCUAAGUUUGAAUUCCCGUCUUUAUAUUAUUAAAAUAAAUUUAAAAAACCAAGACAAACAGAUCAAAAUUAAAAAGGUUUAACGCUAUUCACACUCUUGUUGUCUCUUGUCUAACCUGUUGACGUGAAGGAUAGUGUUGGGAUGGAUGUUAGAGUCUCUUAUGGUGGAUUCAUGGAACACGAGCAUCAUGCAAACCUCUUAUGAAAAUUUAAAUUUUUAUAUCCCCACACACACGCCACUAUCAGCUUCAACAAUUCCUUGGUUUAGGUCAAUUCUCCGCCAUCAUCUUUAUUUAUUUAUUUAUUUUUCUGAUAAACCCUCAUAAUCAUCAGUUUGUCUAUCUGCUCAAAACUUCUUAAAAUAGCAACCGAUCAACAUUUACUUUUACUGACCAAUUUUCUAAUACAACUCACGUUUAUAUGUUGAUUGUAAAGGCGGUCAGUAAGAUAAUCACAAAAAAAUAUAACCCAAAAAUAAGAUAAACAAUAUCGUUUGAAAUCAGACUUUGAAUUUAAAUCAUUAGUCAAACUAAUUUUUAUAUGCAUGUGUGAUCUAAAAUUACAGUUUGACAACGUAAAAUUCUAAGAAAACAACACUAUAAGUUAAUGAAAUUAAGUGGAUAAACACCUGCAUACGCCACAGGAGGUCACCGCUAGGCUUGACCUGAUGGCGAUUAUUGUAGAAAUUAAGACGAGCUUCUUCCACCUCGGCUCGCUCUUCGGGAGUUCCUGCCUCAGGAUCAAACUCAAAUAUCUGCCUCCCCACAAAGUUGUUUGUGCUGUAGAUGUAAGGGUCAUUCCCACCAUCUGCAACCUUAAGCUUCCACAUCUUCAAUAUCUCUUUCUUAUUAUUAUUCUAUAUAUAGCUGCCACUGCUGUUCUACCUAAGAACCUGUUUCAUGCAUGCAAUGUAUGUAUCUAUGGAUAUUGAGAGAGAGAGAGAGAGAGAGAGAGAGAGAGAGAGAGAGAGAGAGAGAGAGAGAGACCCUGUACGUGAGAAGCUGCAAAAACCUUAAUGUAGAGGUUGGUUAUAUAGCUAAGAAUGAAAGAGAGGUGGGGUCGGCCAGCUACCUAGUUUAUAUAUAUGUGUGUGUUUGUAUAAUGCGAGAGUAGUUUUUCGUGAUCAGCAACUAAUCAUUCUUUAAUAUGCUUCGAUAGAGGAAUAAUACAUAUCACCUUCCUAAAUUUGUACAUAUAUAUAUAACAUUUAUAGAUCUAGAGAAAUUAAACAAGCAUCCACUCUCUAUGUCAGGUAGUUCUUAUUAUAUACCAGCCUCUUUGCACGUGCUUCUGCGCCUGCGAGAGGUUUUUUUUAAAAAAAUUUAAAUUUAUUUUAAAAUUAAAAAAGAUAAUGGAUAGUUGUGUUCCAUAAAAAUAGGAUCCAUUAUCUGAAUUUUCUUUUAAUUUUAAUUUUUUUAAUAUGAAAAAUUGUAAAUUUACCAUAUUAUCCUCAUUUAAUUAAUAAUUUUAAUUCUUAAUGUUUGCAUUAACCAAGGGCAUUUUCUGGUAUUUUGAAUGUUUCACCAUUCUCUGUCUUUUGCUUUAUAUAUAUAGAUUUUAUUUUUUGGUAAGAACAUUUUCUUAUUGUUUCCGAUUGUCGUGAAGUCAGCCCUCCUCUAAUGUAGGGUGCGUUUCUUCCACCAACCACCAUCCACCCAAAAAUGAUUGAAUAUGAGUGUCGCUUCCACGCGACACAAAAUUAUAAUAUCGCGUAUCAAAGAUUAAAUGCACGAGUAUUUUUAAUGGGAGUUGUUUUUUUCAUUUUUAUUGUAAGAAUAAUGAGAGUUGUAAUUGGCAUUUCAAAAUUUUUAUUUUGCAUUCCUUCUUUUAAAACGGAUAAAGAAAAUGCAAUAUUAUGACAGACAUGGGUAAAAAUUUUCCCAAUAACUUAAGCAUCCCAGUCCUAGUAGCAAUACGGAGAACUUUCAAAAACUUCUAUAUACAAUAAGACUUAAGGCAUUAUUCUAUUUUAAUUUUUAGACUUAGGAUCUUUAUGAAAGAUUUUUGUAUAAUACAGAGUAAUUAAAAAUGAAAGCAAAUAAAAAUUGCGUGUUCAUAUGGUUUUGGGGGAUAUGCAUGAUCUGAAUUUGUCUCUUUCUUUGGCCAUUGACUUGAGUUUGUAGUGAUAUCACAUUGUAAGUCAUAUCAUAGAAUCUCUACAAUUAAAUUAUUAUGGCGUUGAACUUUAAGUUAGCGGAGAUGUUAGGUAUAAAGAUUUUUAUUGAAAGAUUACACGUAACCCUUAUUGACUAACAAUUCACCAACAUAAUUAAAUCUCUAAUAGGGAAAAGCUUCUUCCUUUGUAUUCACUUCACUCUUUUUUUCUUCAAGAAUUAAUUCUUAGCAAGCUGAAAACUAGACACAUGGAUGGGAUGUUCAAACUAACAUUAGUUGAUACAUCACAUUAAUGAACUCAAAUUAUCAUAACAACAUUUGAAUAUGCACAUAAAUUUGGAAAAAAGAUUCUCCGGCUGGGAGAAAGCUAUCUAAAUAUUUUUAAUGGAACAAGUUGUAUCUACAUUAGUUGCUUUGUACGUGUUUUUUAUUAUUUUAUCAAUGAAAUACUAUCGCUCUUUUAUAAUAAAAAGAUAUGAACAGAGUUACUAAUAAUGGCAUGAGGGCAACGGGCACCUAAUCAAAGUUUCCCGCGAUUACUGAGGCAUAUAUACAUUAAAAUAGGAAACCACAUGAAAAGUAUGCAGGGAUUUUUUAAACAAAGAACACGAUCUCUGAAUCUCAUACCAAAACAAAGCGAACAAUAAUCUAGGGUAUAAAAGAAGUCUACGUUUUCUAAGCAUGUAGGACCAAGGUGGAAUAAUAUUUGAACUGGUAUAUUAAAUACAAUAUAUAUAUGUUGAUGUCGGUGUGAUUUUCCCAAUAAUAUCUUUACCUUAGAUACCAUGUUUAAUAAUUUCUUGGAAAUCGAAUUUGACACAUUUUUUAAUAUUAAGGAACAAAAUAUAUGUCAACGGGGUCUAAAUUCAAUGAAAAAUAGCAUUAACUUGCAGACUAAUAGUUUAAGAUUCAAACCCUCAUGCCACCGUGAUUGUGUAUGUGAGAAAGAAAAAUAUCCGGAAGAUGAGAGGAAUGAAGACAUGUGAAAGACUAUAUGAAAUCAUAUAGGUGAAAGCUAAAAAUUAAAAACAACAAAAUUUUAUUUUAUAAAAGAUUUUUCUCUCUCGACUUGAUUUAAAAAGCAAAAGGCUGAAAACCCAAAAAGAAAGUGUUGAUAGGAUACCACAUGCACUUAGUAGCACAUUAAAGACAAAUACUAACAAGUUUUGGAGUAUUAACGCUGGAAACUUCAUUAAAGACAAAUCAAAUACUAACAACUUUUGGAGUGUUUUUUAGUGAAUUUAUUGUAUUAGCCCACCAAUGUGGACAUAUAUAAACCAAGCACAAAGUAUUCUACCACUCAUAUUCCUAUCCUACACCUACGUAUAUUUAUGAUAUGAUUCCUUUCUCUAGCUGGUUUGACCUUUGCGAAGCUAAGGUUCAUACCAAUUUAUUCAAGGACCAUGCUUUAAUUAUGCUAAUUAUCCUCAAUUCUUUAUAAUUUGUUUAAUUAAUCAUCAAUUUUCGCUCGUGUGAAUGUCAUUAGACUAAAAGAUUAUGAGUAAUGCUAGGCAUACCACAUUUGCAUAUCACUUUGUUAGAGAGAUCGAUGAAGCCGGCCCACCUUUAUUAGAGAGGUAAUGUGGUAUAAUGACUAGCAUUUUUGAAAGAUUAUUGGCUAAUUGUUCAGGAGUUCCCCAAUAAACUUAAUAAAUGUACAUGCAUGUAAUAUCUAAAAAUAACAGUACAGUUAGGCUCAAAUUCUUGAAAAAGCUAGGUCAUAUCUUGGCCAUGCUUCUACAAAUGUAUAAGGUUUAAUUUUUAAUGACCUAAUUGACUCAACCAAUGAGAAGCUGCAAGAUCCUCUCUCUCAUUGGAUUGUACACAAGUAAUCUCAUUGGAUUUGAACAAGAAAUUGAAUUGCAUUUGAUUGCACACAAGUACUCGUAAUUCCUCGUAAAUUUAUUGAAAAAUUUGUAUUUUGUACAAAUUCAUUCUCACUAAGCAUCAAGCUGAACCCCCAUAAAAAUGAUUUUCAACAAUUGGCUCUUAUAUAUAUAUGUUUAAUCCUUUAUGUUGGAUAAGCUACACAAUACUGUUAGCGAUUUAGGCUUCCGAAGGCAAUGGAACCCACUUGCGGUACUCUGCAAGAGCCCACAGAGGGUAGAUAUUUCUGUAAGCUGCAUAAUGUAGCAUGCAGUUCUUCAUGAACACUCCUGUGAUUUCCUGCCAUAGUUCAGUGAUUAAUGGUUAGAAAAAAGUUACAAGUAAAAAUUAAGAUUGCAAUGCAAGUAAUGUUGUGCUAAGAAAGAUACCUGUUGGGGAAAAUCCCCAUUUUCCAUUUGAGAAUUGAUAAUCAACUUUGCUGCACGAUGAAGAGGUGCAGGAUCUCUUUCUGCCUGUCCAGCUUGAAUCAGACCCAUCAUAGCCCAUGCAGUGUGUACUAAAUUCGAUCGGUUUUCUUCGAGAGGAACGUACUCCUGUAUCAACCGCCAAGAGAGAAAUAUUUUCAUGUAAGACAAUGGGAUGGUUUAAGAAAUUUGAAGCUUGCUUAAAACGCAAUCCACCUCCAACAUCUUACCUUUUUUGGACAUGAAAGAUAGCUCUCUCCCCAGCCACCGUUCUCUCUUUGUGUCGUGAGUAGAAAGUUAACGCCUUUGCGCACAGUCAAACAAUUAUUGAAAGUCUUUCCGGCCGCUGCUAACCCUCCAAGGGCAAACCAGCUACCAUAUGUAAAGCAAACUCCCCAAUUUCCAUACCAUGAACCAUCUGGCAUUUGUAUGUUUUCAAGGUACUCUGUAGCAUUGGUAAUGAAAUUAUCAAUCUCUUUUUUCCUGUGCCCAGGAUACAACUUCUUAAACAGAACUAAAGACUGAAUUGCAGAUGAAGUGCAUUCAACAUAUUCGUGCUCGACCACAAUGUCCGCAAAGAAUUCUGUGGGAUUUAACAUCUGAGGGAAAUAAAAGAGGAAAAUAUGUAGUAAGUAUCUGCUAAUGAUUAUUUUAAGAGCAUUAAUUUCUGUUCAUCUGACAGAUUUGCACAAGAACGUGGCUUCAAUUUGUUAGAAUUCUUACUUCUAACCACUCUGCUGCUCCUGCUGGUUCCCAGGCUGCUAAACCACCAUUCUUACUCUGCAAUGAUCCGAAAAAUGGUGCUUAGUUAAUGAGUACUUAGAUAUAAAAGAGCAAUGCACUUGAAAAGAGAAGGGUUGAAGUGCUAAAAGUUAAUUAAAUUCUUCAAACUAAAGCAACAAUUAGGAGUGGCAACUCUAGGGUUAAAGAAUCAUGUGAAACAAAUAUAGAUCAAAUUGCUGCAGGGAAAGCACAAGCUUUUAAAUCCAUAUCUAUGACUAGGGGGUGCAGGAUAAGAAUACUUUAGACACAAUCCUUUCUGCAGGCAAGUUCUCACCUGUAGGGAAAGUAGGACAUUGACAGAAUCGUAUAACCUCUGAGGUUCCAUUUUUUCACCAACUAUAUCUGGUCGCAUCGUCGAGAACAACAGGCAACACUGCAGUGUAGGAGAUUGUGAGAAACAUGGAGAUAAACAGACGGUGGAUAAGUCAAAUUGAAGCAUUUGAGAAAAUUUAGUUACCUUUAAACCCUCUGCGGUGCAAUCAGAAACUUGCCAUCCAUGGUCUUGAUCAGAGAAAGUCCAUGAUCCUUUAGAAAUGUGGCGGUGCAUGCUUUUGAAGUCACCAGAUGGAUUGUCCUUGACCUGUACAGUUUGAGCGCAAAGGAUUCAUUAGUCUGAACAAAUUAAUGGACACACAUUUAUAGGUAAACUAUAGUUAAAAUUGAACCUGAGAUUUCUUGAUGAAGUCAUGUCCUCUAGCGAGCGUAGGUCCAAUUUCAUCAGUAAGAUUGCUAGCAAGCAAAGCUUGAAUGGCAAAACCAGUAUCCCACUGCUGACUUCCAAAACUCUGCAUAUAUCAAUCAAACAAUAAGUAUGUAAACUUCUAAGGUUUUCCUCUUCUUUUAGGUGAGUUACACUUUAAUGACCAAAGGAGAAAAACUCUGCUUAAAAUCAUACGCAUAAAUGUUACAACAGCAUAAAUAAUCUGGGAUGCUAUGUGUACUAACCUGCAUCUUCAUCCCAUCUUCAGCAACCCAUAAAUAAUCUGGGAUCCUAGCAAGAUGCUUCUUAAAAUAGUCUCCAUUUGGAUCUUCAGCCCAACAAGCAAGCAUACAUAAAACCUGUUCAAGUAAUGCAAAUAACAUGAUGAGAAUCUGAAAAGUUAAUAUUUUUCUCCAGUCUCCUAUAAGGUACAUCAGUAUCCUUAUCCACAUUACCUUUUCCACACAUCCAAUGGUAAUAUAUCUGCUGUUUUCAUCUUCAUAAUGAAUAUGCUUCAUUGUAACUUGAAGAGCUUUUUCUCUGACCAACUUGUUAAACGGCCAGCGAGUAAGAAGAGGCUCUGUACAUAUGUAGAGACUAUCCCACAUGAUGUCCUGUAUCCAAGGGUGUGGGUAGUAGAUAUCCUCCUGCAAUUAAAUACCUGUAAUCAGGUUCUGUACUUAAACAAGAAAUAUAAACUGAUUAAGUAAUUUAAUUAAAGUUAAACUCACUUUCGCACAAAGAUGGCGCACUCCCUUCCAAUUAAUUGCAUCGUAAGGUUGAGCAUAUAGUUCUUCCCUUAAUUGCAGAAUGAGAGGUGUGAUUGGGCCAACAAACCUCUUCCCAUAUAAAUAUGACAUAGGCAUGUAAACCAUCCUACAAUAGCACCACAUUUUUGCUGCAUUUUCAAGAUAAAAGAGGUUAAAAAUUAAGACUUCUAACUAAAUCACAAGGACACUCCUUGAGUUUGCAGAGUUCUUCAAUCUGCAGGUGUGCUAACCUGGAUGCAUAGGAAGAAAUGAAGGCAGCAUCCAAAACUCCGGCGGCAUUGGGUUGCUUCCAGACCACUCAAACACGCCAAGUAUCUACAACAAAAGCAACAUACUCAUAUUAAUUGAAGCCUAAUAAAUGCAACUAUUACUCAUAUUUUUUCCAUUCAACAAGGCCAUACGUACCGAAAGCCAGGUCUUUCCCCAAGAGGGCAUGUGUGUGACACUACCGUGAUCAAGAAUCCAUUUCCUUGCUCUGGCACAAGCAUUGUUCUGGCCUCCAUCAGGUCCUUCUCCGAGAAUGCGCAUACAAAUGUAGCUCAGGGCUGUGCAGAACAUGGUGCUAUGGCCUUCAAUAUGUAAUCCCCAACCACCAUCUUGAUUCUGAAAAUACAUUACCAUU
rnacentral:lncRNA from 1 species